rnacentral:lncRNA from 10 species
UUUAAAACCAUGUAUUUCUUUAUAGACAAAUCUUUCUCUUUACUCACCAACUCUUUCUACUCUUUUGUGGUAGAACUUUUUGUCACCAUUUUAUUAGCUCAGAUUGUGAGCAAAGACACAUUAAAAUGGAUAGAGAAGUUGAUGUCACAAUUGCUAAACUGAUUAAAAUAACUGAAUAAUGAUUUUAAUUUACUCAUUUUGGUUAAACCAAAAAUACUUGUCUCUACCAUCAAAAAAAUGCAAAAGUCCAUGUUUUGGAGCAUGUUAAUGAAAUAUAUAAUUUUUAAAAUAAACAACAUCAACAGUUGUCAAAAAUUAAAGCGAUAAAAAUAUAGAUUUCAUCUCUUGGCAGGGUAAAGUCUUCAUGUUAGUUGAAUAGUAAAUGUUACUCUUUCAAAUUAAGAUGUCUCUACCAAAUGGGGCAUUUAAUAAGGACUGACAAUUUGGAUCCAAAUUUAUUGUUCUGUGACCAUAUUAAAUUGAGAAAUACAGAAGUGUACACAUAUUAAAAAUGUACACUACAUGAUUCCCAAUUUAAGAAAAACUAAAGACAAACUAUAAAAUACAUAGAUCAACCACAUGUUUUAUUCAUAUUACUUAGCAUACUUCAAAUGAAGUUUCAAAACUCUACAUUGUUUGUGUCAUGUUAAUAAACCAUACUAUCUUGAAUAAUCAUGAAAUAAAAUUAAUUGAAAUAAUUCAACUAGUAUGAUAAGUGUGUAUUUAAUUAAGUCAAUUGCAAGCAUAAUAAAGAAAAACAAUAAAAAAUCACAAUUUUUAUUCAGUUAGAGGUUGUAGUAUUUGUCCCCAAAGGAAAAUUAAUCUAUUCAUAGUUGCCUUAAUAUUGGGGAUAGUAUUCUCAAACAUUUUUAGGUGUACAAACUAUGCCUUUUUGUUUAUCUAAUUUAAAGUUAUCAAAUUUACAGCAAAUGUACUUUGGAAUAUAAACUCUCCUUCAAUAAUACAAUCCAAAAAACAAAGACUUAUUUCUGAAAUAUACUAUUAGAAAUAAGGCAUAUUGGCAGGGCACGGUGGCUCACGCCUUAAUCCCAGCACUUUGGGAGGCCAAGGCCGGCAGAUCACAAGGUCAGGAGAUUGAGACCAUCCUGAGUAACACGGUGAAACCCCGUCUGUACAAAAAAUACAAAAAAUUAGCUGGGUGUGGUGGCAUGCGCCUAUAGUCCCAGCUACUCGGGAGGCUGAAGCAAGACAAUCACUUGAACCUGGUAGGCGAAGGUUGGAGUGAGCCGAGAUCGCGCCCCUGCACUCCAGCCUGGGAGAGACAGAGAGAGACUUCCAGUCUUAAAAAAAAAAAAAAGUCGUAUUUAAAAAACAAGGAGUAACUGAAAAAGUAACUAUAUAACUAAUAUAUUACUCUCUGAACUAUGUAACAAAAAUAUUUCUCUACAAAAUACUAUUAUUCCUAUAAUCCAUUUAUUUCUAUAUACCAUGUUUGUGUCACUAUAGGUUGGUAUGUACCCAAUUGUGACUAAACCAAAAGAAACAAAUCUGGAAACUGAAGUAUCAAUACGUGAAAAGCGUUCUUUUGGUAUUGGGAGUGCCAGUUGUCUUUGUUUCAUGAACUACUUCUCCGUAAUAGCAUGCAGCCAUCUUCAAGAGAUUAUAAGUCACAGUCUGUAAGAAAAGAAAAAGUAAAACAAGAUAGACUCCUGAGAACACUAAUUCCAGCAAAGAAGAAGAAGAUCUUCCUAAAAAACAAGGAUUACUCAAAGUUAUUGAGAAGAAAUACAGGUUCUGGUGGACAAUUUCCAGUCUGGAGUCUGCAUUUGGAGAGAUUCUACAGCACAUGCAUGAAUGAGAAAGAGGGUGAAGGUGAAAAGAAGACCUAAGUGUUACCUUGUUGGAUGCUGCUCUGCAUGGAAGAAAACAUUAGGACUGGUGUGCUGCCUAUUCAUUUAAGAAACUGAUGGUUUUACGACUAGUAGCAUGGUGUAUUUAACAAACACUGGCCUAGGACUCAUAAACAGAGAUGACUACAGGUUGAUGAUCUAAUAAAUAUUCUAGUCAUCACUGCCUGGGCUAAAGAGGAGGAGGUGGUGUCCCAAGGGCAUUUAUAUCUUUGCUCUGUAUUUGGAGGAGAAUGGAGAGUUCCAAAUGAUCAGAGCUUGCACAUUACUAGAUCCCCUUUCUAAUGGAGUAUCUGCUGAGGAGACUGGAAUGAGGAAGGAAUUCAUUAAGUCUGAUUGUCUCUGAACAGCAAAGUUCCUGAGGUCAGUCUGAAGUGAAAUAAACUAUUCAAAAGCUUAAAAUACCCUGAAUAAGAAUAAAACAUGCCAGUAAUUAAAAUGAUUUGAGGAUUUUAUUCUAAAUACAUUUUAAAGAUCAAAGACUAAAUCUACCAACAGGCAAAGCAUGAAGACUAGAGUUCUGUGAAUUUAGCCUUUAGACUUAAUCUCUGAGGAAAAGAAAACCAAUCUCAGACAAAGACAUACGAAGCCAGGGAGAAUUGUUAGAUAUAUUAUCUCUAAUUCCAGUGGGGCUAUCCGUGUUAAAAAUUAGUAAGAGGGAAAAAAGUACAUGGUAAAAACUGCAGAAGGAAUAAAGAAAAAAAAAGCAUAAACAGUAUUAUUUGCUAACGUUGAAAGACACACAAACUCUUAAGAUUAGAAACUCUAAUAUCAAUACAAAUAAAUUUUACAUGUAAAAUACCAGAAUAAAAUAGAUAAUGCAGAACUAAUCAAGCUGAGAAAAGAAGCACAAUUACUGUAGAACCAAUACAUGAGUAAGAAAAAGUAUGUAAGAGUAGAAUUCACUUAUGUUGAUACCUAAAUAAAUCAACUGGAAGGGAGGAUUGGAUAAUCAUGAGAGAAGUCACAAGAAAUUUAGACAACAUCAUUAUCAGUAGAUAACUUUAUGUCUCACCUUCCUGUUUAAAACUUCAACCCUUCUAUCCACCCUGUACACUCAGCAGAAAACUUUUCCCAAUAUUUCAUUUAAAAAAUGGCAACAAUCAGAAGAGAGCACCUCUCCUUCCACUCUUAAGUGUACCAGUGCCCCUUUAUGUGACCACCUAUGUUCAGACAUUACUCACAAUACAAUAAAGAAAUGUCCCUGUUUUUGUCUAAGACCUUUCAUUUAUGAUCUAGAUGACAUGCCCUUCCAUUAGAUCAAUGAUUUGAACACUGAAAUUGUCCUCGCUCAUCCUGCAUCAUUAGAAGUUCUCUCUUGUUUCUAUCAUGUAUGGAGUUAUAGAAGAAAACACAUGUUAAAAAAAUUUUCCUUAAACAAGCAUCUCUCUCCAAUAACUUCCUAAUUCUCCCCAGUCCAUUGGAAAAGUAGUAAGCUAAGAGAGUCGCAUAUUUUUCUGUUACUGACUACUUCUCCACUGACACACUUUUCAAGUCAUUCCAUAUAGACUUUUAUUCCCACUUAGUUAAAGAAAGAGAAAUAACAAAGAACUUAGUGGGGUUGAUGGAUGUUAUUAUAACAUACAUUUAUACAACUAAUACUUAGAAGGUAUUUAUGUAUUGGACUAUGUCAUGAGAAUUUUUAGUAAGCUUGCUACUUGAUAAUACUCAAUUGGAAAAUAGAGAGAGCCAGAUUCUUAGGAGUACAAAUGAGAAAUGAAAAUCUGUAAUGGAUAUCUCUACUUGUAAUCUUUAUAGAUAUAAAAAAAGGAGUCACACAGCAUUCAGAAUAUUCGUAACCAGAUGCUUAUGAAUAGAGUUUAAUUUGUUGGUGCACCUUUCCCCUACCAUUCUUUCUAAGUACAAUUAAGCAGGUAGAAUUGAGGGAGUUUCUAUUUCCACUCAAACAUUUGAAAAAGAUGAAGUAAAG